rnacentral:rRNA from 1 species
UACGUAGGGGGCAAGCGUUGUCCGGAAUCAUUGGGCGUAAAGCGCGUGUAGGUGGCUCGGUAAGUCUGCUGUGAAAGUCCAGGGCUCAACCCUGGGAUGCCGGUGGAUACUGUCGAGCUGGAGUCCGGAAGAGGCGAGUGGAAUUCCUGGUGUAGCGGUGAAAUGCGCAGAUAUCAGGAGGAACACCAAUGGCGAAGGCAGCUCGCUGGGACGUGACUGACGCUGAGGCGCGAAAGCUAGGGGAGCGAACAGG